UGGGGAAUAUUGGACAAUGGGCGCAAGCCUGAUCCAGCAAUGCCGCGUGGGUGAAGAAGGUCUUCGGAUUGUAAAGCCCUUUCGGCGGGGACGAUGAUGACGGUACCCGCAGAAGAAGCCCCGGCUAACUUCGUGCCAGCAGCCGCGGUAAUACGAAGGGGGCUAGCGUUGCUCGGAAUGACUGGGCGUAAAGGGCGCGUAGGCGGGUCACACAGUCAGAUGUGAAAUUCCUGGGCUCAACCUGGGGGCUGCAUUUGAUACGUGUGGUCUUGAGUGCGGAAGAGGGUGGUGGAAUUCCCAGUGUAGAGGUGAAAUUCGUAGAUAUUGGGAAGAACACCGGUGGCGAAGGCGGCCACCUGGUCCGCGACUGACGCUGAGGCGCGAAAGCGUGGGGAGCAAACAGGAUUAGAUACCCUGGUAGUCCACGCCGUAAACGAUGUGCGCUGGAUGUUGGGCGGCCUAGCCGUUCAGUGUCGCAGCUAAUGCGAUAAGCGCACCGCCUGGGGGA
rnacentral:rRNA from 1 species